GCUGGGUGCUCGAGUGGCGAACGGGUGAGUAACACGUGGGUGAUCUGCCCCUGACUUUGGGAUAAGCCUGGGAAACUGGGUCUAAUACCGGAUAUGACCUUCUGUUGCAUGGCAUUUGGUGGAAAGCCUUGUGCGGUUGGGGAUGGGCCCGCGGCCUAUCAGCUUGUUGGUGGGGUAAUGGCCUACCAAGGCGACGACGGGUAGCCGACCUGAGAGGGUGAUCGGCCACACUGGGACUGAGACACGGCCCAGACUCCUACGGGAGGCAGCAGUGGGGAAUAUUGCACAAUGGGCGCAAGCCUGAUGCAGCGACGCCGCGUGAGGGAUGACGGCCUUCGGGUUGUAAACCUCUUUCACCAGGGACGAAGCUUUUGUGACGGUACCUGGAGAAGAAGCACCGGCCAACUACGUGCCAGCAGCCGCGGUAAUACGUAGGGUGCGAGCGUUGUCCGGAAUUACUGGGCGUAAAGAGCUCGUAGGCGGUUUGUCGCGUCGUCUGUGAAAUUCUGCAGCUUAACUGCAGGCGUGCAGGCGAUACGGGCAGACUUGAGUACUACAGGGGAGACUGGAAUUCCUGGUGUAGCGGUGAAAUGCGCAGAUAUCAGGAGGAACACCGGUGGCGAAGGCGGGUCUCUGGGUAGUAACUGACGCUGAGGAGCGAAAGCGUGGGUAGCGAACAGGAUUAGAUACCCUGGUAGUCCACGCCGUAAACGGUGGGUACUAGGUGUGGGGCUCAUUUCACGAGUUCCGUGCCGUAGCUAACGCAUUAAGUACCCCGCCUGGGGAGUACGGCCGCAAGGCUAAAACUCAAAGGAAUUUGACGGGG
rnacentral:rRNA from 1 species